GGAGGGGUGGCUGAGUGGACGAAAGCGACGGUUUUGAAAACCGUUGUCCCGCGCAAGCGGGACCGGGGGUUCGAAUCCCUCCCCCUCCGCCA
rnacentral:tRNA from 2 species